rnacentral:lncRNA from 1 species
GGGAAGCUAUUGAAUGCUUGAUACAAUAGUGAACUUACCUUUUGCGUUGAGUGGAACAGCAAGCUCACAGGAACCAACAGGCAGCCUGAGCUUCUCCUUUAGAGCCUUCACGUCAGGUUUGUACAUCCAAGCAUUGCCUUCACGUUUCACUAGGUCCUUGCAAGAGAAGAGGUUUGGAAUUGGGAAGCAAUCAGUCACAAACAGCACAUGGAUUCCUCUAUUGCCUCUUGCUGUGGCUGCUGCUAAUUUUGCUGCUGACAACUGCAGAUGCAGCCUUGCAACAUCUCUUGACCAACCCGCCACACGAGUACAGGGAAGCUUAACAGCAACAACAUCAAAGUGUGUCGCUCUUGAAAAACUAGGAUCUGGAAGCGAAGGACAAGA